rnacentral:rRNA from 1 species
CGCUGGCGGCGUGCUUAACACAUGCAAGUCGAACGGUGACGAGGAGCUUGCUCCUCUGAUCAGUGGCGAACGGGUGAGUAACACGUGAGCAACCUGCCCCAGACUCUGGGAUAACAGUUGGAAACAGCUGCUAAUACCGGAUACGAGACGGAGAGGCAUCUCUACCGUCUGGAAAGUUUUCGGUCUGGGAUGGACUCGCGGCCUAUCAGCUAGUUGGUGAGGUAAUGGCUCACCAAGGCGACGACGGGUAGCCGGCCUGAGAGGGCGACCGGCCACACUGGGACUGAGACACGGCCCAGACUCCUACGGGAGGCAGCAGUGGGGAAUAUUGCACAAUGGGCGAAAGCCUGAUGCAGCGACGCCGCGUGAGGGAUGAAGGCCUUCGGGUUGUAAACCUCUUUCAGCAGGGAAGAAGCGAAAGUGACGGUACCUGCAGAAGAAGCACCGGCUAACUACGUG